GAACGCUGGCGGCAGGCCUAACACAUGCAAGUCGAACGGUAACAGGAAGCAGCUUGCUGCUUCGCUGACGAGUGGCGGACGGGUGAGUAAUGUCUGGGAAGCUGCCUGAUGGAGGGGGAUAACUACUGGAAACGGUAGCUAAUACCGCAUAAUGUCGCAAGACCAAAGAGGGGGGACCUUCGGGCCUCUUGCCAUCGGAUGUGCCCAGAUGGGAUUAGCUUGUUGGUGGGGUAACGGCUCACCAAGGCGACGAUCCCUAGCUGGUCUGAGAGGAUGACCAGCCACACUGGAACUGAGACACGGUCCAGACUCCUACGGGAGGCAGCAGUGGGGAAUAUUGCACAAUGGGCGCAAGCCUGAUGCAGCCAUGCCGCGUGUAUGAAGAAGGCCUUCGGGUUGUAAAGUACUUUCAGCGGGGAGGAAGGGAGUAAAGUUAAUACCUUUGCUCAUUGACGUUACCCGCAGAAGAGGCACCGGCUAACUCCGUG
rnacentral:rRNA from 1 species